rnacentral:tRNA from 1 species
GGGCCCAUAGCUCAGUUGGUUAGAGCAGGGGACUCAUAAUCCCUUGGUCGUAGGUUCGAGUCCUACUGGGCCCA